CCUACGGGAGGCUGCAGUGGGGAAUAUUGCACAAUGGGGGAAACCCUGAUGCAGCGACGCCGCGUGAGUGAAGAAGUAUUUCGGUACGUAAAGCUCUAUCAGCAGGGAAGAAAAUGACGGUACCUGACUAAGAAGCCCCGGAUAACUACGUGCCAGCAGCCGCGGUAAGACGUAGGGGGCAAGCGUUAUCCGGAUUUACUGGGGGUAAAGGGAGCGUAGACGGCAGCGCAAGUCUGGAGUGAAAUCCGAGGGCUUAACCAUGGACCUGCUUUGGAAACUGUGCAGCUGGAGUGCAGGAGAGGUAAGCGGAAUUCCUAGUGUAGCGGUGAAAUGCGAAGAUAUUAGGAGGAACACCAGUGGCGAAGGCGGCUUACUGGACUGUAACUGACGUUGAGGCUCGAAAGCGUGGGGAGCAAACAGGAUUAGAUACCCGAGUAGUC
rnacentral:rRNA from 1 species